AUCCAGUUGUAGAGUCCCAAAUAGGACGAAAUGUGCGUUCUUCUGGAU
rfam:Trichobilharzia regenti genome assembly, scaffold: TRE_scaffold0064490